AACGACUCUCGGCAACGGAUAUCUCGGCUCUCGCAUCGAUGAAGAACGUAGCGAAAUGCGAUACUUGGUGUGAAUUGCAGAAUCCCGUGAACCAUCGAGUUUUUGAACGCAAGUUGCGCCUCAAGCCUUCGGGACGAGGGCACGCUUGCCUGGGCGUCACGC
rnacentral:rRNA from 1 species